AGCACCAAGGAAUAUUGUGCAAUGGGCGAAAGCYUGACACAGCGACGCCGCGUGAGGGAUGAAGGCCUUCGGGUUGUAAACCCCUUUUCUCAGGGAAGAAUAAUGACGGUACCUGAGGAAUAAGCCUCGGCUAACUACGUGCCAGCAGCCGCGGUAAUACGUAGGAGGCGAGCGUUAUCCGGAUUUACUGGGCGUAAAGAGGGYGUAGGCGGUUUUUUAAGUCGGAUGUAAAAUCUCCCGGCUUAACYGGGAGGGWUCAUUCGAUACUBUUGGGCUAGAGUGCAGCAGAGGGAAGUGGAAUUCCCGGUGUAGUGGUGAAAUGCGUAGAUAUCGGGAGGAACACCAGUGGCGAAGGCGGCUUCCUGGGCUGUUCACUGAACGCCGAGGCCCGAAAGCGUGGGGAG
rnacentral:rRNA from 1 species